UGAUUUUUUCAUUUAAUCCAUUUAUUUUGUUUAAUUCAUAUAAAUUUCACUUUUAAUCCAAAAAAUAUGGGACUUUCACCAAAAAUCUUUAAAUAUUUUCGUCUUUAAUAUUUUGAAUUAAAAUCAUUUUUUGGAUUAAUUUUGAUAUUUUUCACGAAUUAAAUGAUUUUUGACUUGUCUUAAAUAGUUUUAAAAUACUUUUGACUUUCC
rnacentral:lncRNA from 1 species